rnacentral:pre_miRNA from 1 species
UACAGAGAGGACAUCUGAAACAGUUUUCCAUACCUCUGUUCACAGAUGACUUCCUGAAGC